AAAUGAAUAGACGGGCACCCGCACAAGCGGUGGAGCAUGCUGUUUAAUUCGACGCUACGCGAAGAACCUUACCUGGGCUUGACAUCUCAAGGAUCGCUCUAGAAAUAGAGUCUCCCUUCGGGGCCGUGAGACAGGUGGUGCAUGGUUGUCGUCAGCUCGUGUCGUGAGAUGUUGGGUUAAGUCCCAUAACGAGCGCAACCCUUAUUUUUAGUUACUAACAUUUAGUUGAGAACUCUAAAAAGACUGCCGGUGGUAAAUCGGAGGAAGGUGGGGAUGACGUCAAAUCAUCAUGCCCCUUAUGUCCAGGGCUACAGGCGUGCUACAAUGGUCAGUAUAAUAAGACGCAAUGUCGCAAGGCGGAGCAAAUCUUUAAAGCUGGUCUCAAUUCGGAUUGAAGUCUGCAACUCGACUUCAUGAAGUCGGAAUCGCUAGUAAUCGCAAAUCAGAAUGUUGCGGUGAAUACGUUCCCGGGUGUUGUACACACCGCCCGU
rnacentral:rRNA from 1 species